GUCCACCCGAGAUGAAUUGCUCCGCCAACUGUCUUAUAAUCUCAAUAGAGCUCAACAACGCAUGGUUAGGGCUGCUAAUAAGCAUCGAAGAGAAGUGGAGUAUAAGAUUAGGGAUGUUGUUUUUCUUAAUAUUCGACCUCAACGCCAGUCUACUCUUUCUAAGAUCAUUCAUCCAAAAUUAGCAGCCCGCUAUCUUGGUCCAUUUCCAAUUAUUCAGAAAAUUGGUGCAGUUGCUUACAAGUUGCAGUUACCAGAGUCAUAAAAAAUACAUCCCAUCUUCCAUGUUUCUCAAUUAAAAAAGGUUGUUGGACAGCAUCCAGGAGCUACUAAUUUACCUAAAGACCUGGAAAUUGAUGAUGAGUUAGUAGAGCCUGAGACUUUAUUGCAGAAAAGAUUAGAAGUGGUUAAUGGGAUUCAAGUGCUACAGGUCUUAGUCAAAUGGAAGGGCAAACCCCUAGAGGAUGCUACCUGGAUGUCAUAUGUUGAUUUUGUGAAUCAAUUUUCAGCUGCCAACCUUGAGGACAAGGUUGUUCUCCAAGGGCGGAGUACUGAUAAAAGCAGCCCAUUAGUGAAUCAUGA
rnacentral:misc_RNA from 1 species